CGAACGGGUGAGUAACGCGUGGGCAACCUGCCCUCUAGAUGGGGACAACAUCCCGAAAGGGGUGCUAAUACCGAAUGUGACAGCAAUCUCGCAUGAGGAUGCUGUGAAAGAUGGCCUCUAUUUAUAAGCUAUCGCUAGAGGAUGGGCCUGCGUCUGAUUAGCUAGUUGGUGAGGUAACGGCCCACCAAGGCGACGAUCCAUAGCCGACCUGAGAGGGUGACCGGCCACAUUGGGACUGAGACACGGCCCAGACUCC
rnacentral:rRNA from 1 species